rnacentral:lncRNA from 1 species
UGCAGAGUGUGUGUUUGUAUGAGUGUGUGUGUAUAUAAUUAUAAAAAUCACAGAAUUUCAUAGCCCCAAGUUUUACCCUCGACUUAUCCACAAGGCAUAGCAUAUUUCACAAUUGUUGGUCACAAAACUGCACUCGACUUAUACAUGAGAUCGACUUAUACACGAGUAUAUACGGUACAUCUCCCACAAUGCAGUUCACAACAUGUAGAGUGCCAAAGGUUGCCUACCCCUGGUCUAGGCAUUGUGAUAUGUUAAACCAAAUGUAUGUGCACACCUCUGCUUGGAUUCAGUGCAGUGGCCAUAAAGUUUGGCCAGUUUCAGUAAGUCUUUUAAUUAUUUUAAAUAAGUAGUUUAAAUAAUGCUAAAGCUUGUGGCAGGUCCACAUGAGCUACCAGACUGUUUAUAGUAUUAAAAGAUAAAUUUAAUUAUUUAAUUACACAUUUCACCAGUGAAUUGUUUGUGAAAUCGAAAAAAAAUAAAUAACAUAUUUAUUGAAAACAUAUUUAUGACAGACAUCUUUAUUGAAUAGAGCACCAAGGGAGCAAAUAUAAAAUAUAAAAAAAGUGCCAAAAUACACCCAUCUUUUUUUUUUUUUUUUUUACAUUUUUCCAAUAAAUGUGAUUAUCUAGAGUUUAACACUUUUGAGAUAAAUCUAGGAAAAAUGUAAAAUAUUUAGUAGCAAAAAGAUGUAACCAGCUUGAUCUUUUCUUUGGCCUCCAUUGGUCAGUCACUUUAUAUGCAGAGUGUCCACAGCAUAUACACAGUACCUAUAUAUCCAGCACGCAUAAUAUUCAGUUACCAGAAUUGCCAAAAUCAAGUCAAUUUAUUUAGUUCACACCAUUCUAUACUUGGAGUGUAAUUUGCUCAUAUGACAGUUCAAAUUGGAAGCUCCAUUGCAACAUUUUGCCCUCUACUCACAAAUUAGUAUGCAUUCAUAAAAGUGGAAGCAAUGAUUGCAAAUUAGUUCAUACUGUGAGAAAGUUUGUUCACGUACAUUUGACCCUUUUCUUCAAUCACUGGGCAUAUUCUUCCUUAUCUUUAAAAAACAUACAGAGUAUGCUAGAUAUUUUUUUUUUAGGUUUGUACAUUUAGGAUUGUAAAGUAUGCUGAAAUACAUUAAUAGUAUUGUGCUUUACAGGAUUGUCACGUAAAAAUAUAAAUGUUUUUAUUUUCCUUGCAUAUGUAACAAAUGUUCCCGGCACAAAAGAGAUUCAUUAAAUAGUGUGUUGUGUAAUAUCGUAUGCCAAUUUGCAAAAAUUUAAGAUGAACUAAUAGCCAAACCAGUAAAAUGUUUAUUUCAUCAGCUAUUUUAGCUUAAACUUUGCUUUAAAGUUGAUUACUAAAUAAGCCACAGUUCACUGGUUAGUGAAUACAAAGUAAGGUCUGAAAACAUUGGUAAUUUCAUUAUUGAAAAAUUAUUUAAUUUAAAAAAUAAAUAAAUCAGAAAUAGAAUGAUAUACAGUGUACCUUUCAUCCGAAAUAAAAGUAUUAAUAUAUAACAUGAUCAAAGUUAUACAUAAUCCUGACACAUUUAUUCCUGAAUUUAAUGUUUCACCUGUUUACAUAUGAUUGCCGUAUAACAAUGUGUUGGCCAUCGUGUAGAAGGCAAAAUAUGCUGCUAUAGCAAGGGUAGGCAACUUUCGGCACUCCAGAUGUGGACUACAUUACCCUAAAUGCUCUUACAGCCAUAAUGCUGGUAAAGAACCAUGGGGGGGGGGAGGGGGGGGUGUAAUCUACAACAUCUGGAGUGCAGAAGGUUGCCUAACACUGUUCUAGAGAAAUUCAUCAUAAAUGUAAAUGUAAAUCUUAAUGAAGAGAUUUGUGGCAAAGAUGCUGCCCCUGCAGCCUUGCAAAUGAAAACAUCACUGUUUACAUUUUGCAAUAUCCAUGAUGGGCUGUCAAUCAAUCUGUCAUUUUUGGCAUUACCAUAAAAGUAGUCUGGCACCAGACGCUGGGUGUGUUUCUUUGUAUGAGAAGCACAGCAAAUUGGCAUGCAUUGGAUACAUGCAGUGCUUCUCUGCAGUGUUUAACAAAAGUCAUAAAUAUUGAGGCUUUUAUUGAUUGAGCAGUCUGACUAAAGCAGUGCAAUAAAAACUAUUUUCUUUUAAGUUUUCAUUUAAAAAAGGGGGGGUUAGUCGGUAUUUUAAUAUAUUAAAGGAGCACAUCUAACUAAAAAUGUGUAUGUGUGUGUGUAUUAUUUCUUUUAAAAUAUAUGGUCUCCUUGAAAGAUGUAUCGAUUAAACCAAUAUUUGAAUGAUAGUCUAAUAAAUGACCCAUUACAAGGUGACAAUUAAGAAGUGCAAAUAUUAUACCUAAAUAGUGUUAAAUCUCUGUUUUCGUAUUUCAUGUAGUUGACCUGCUGAUAUGUAAGAAUUAUCAUUCAUGAUAAAAAUAAACAUCUAUGUUUCAUAUGUUUCCUCUUCUUUCAAGUGAGCUUUCAGAGAAUUGGUCUUUUUUGUUAGAAAUUCUUCGUAAGCAGGUAUGUACAGCAAAAAAUAAA